AAAGAUUUAUCGGUGUACGAUGGGGAUGCGUUCCAUUAGGUAGUAGCGGGGUAACGGCCACCUAGCCUACGAUGGAUAGGGGUUCUGAGAGAAGGUCCCCCACAUUGGAACUGAGACACGGUCCAAACUCCUACGGGAGGCAGCAGUGAGGAAUAUUGGUCAAUGGACGAGAGUCUGAACCAGCCAAGUAGCGUGAAGGAUGAAGGUCCUACGGAUUGUAAACUUCUUUUAUAAGGGAAUAAAACCUCCCACGUGUGGGAGCUUGUAUGUACCUUAUGAAUAAGCAUCGGCUAACUCCGUG
rnacentral:rRNA from 1 species